UCCCUCUUAGUUCAGUUGGUAGAACGCCGGACUGUUAAUCCGUAUGUCACUGGUUCAAGUCCAGUAGAGGGAGCUA
rnacentral:tRNA from 1 species